ACCCUAAUUCGAACUCUCUCUCUUCUCUUCUCUGGCGAACACGGCAACGAAACAAGAGCGAAUACAUUUGAUCAAGAAUCAACGGAUUUGAAGACAAAUCAUCUAUGGUACUCUCUAAUUUCAGUAUUUCAUGAUCGAUUAUAGAUAGGGCUUUUUUGCAGGAAAUCAAAUCUUUGAGAUCAAAUCGGCGAUUUAGUGAAGAGGUCGAAUUAGCAAAAAUAUUCACUCCCCGCUGGUUAAAUAAAGAUUUUUUUAACAGGUGAUGAUAAAACUGAAUAUGUAUUGAAUAUUUAAAGAAAUCUGUCAUGUGUAUUUUUGUUUUGAGUUGUUGUGUUCUCAUUUUAUUAUUAUUUUAAUUGUUGAACACUUAUGGAUCGUGGUUUUUUCAUUUAUGUUUUGGACUCAUUUAAGACUGGCCAGGUUGGAGUGAAUACACAAACGUGAAUAUGUUGAUGAGCCCUUUCUGGGAAUUAGCCCUUGAAGAUGUCAAUUGAGGUAUCACACAAUAUUAUGCUUUUGCGGAAGAAAGGCUGCUUUUUUUCUUCUUAUGCUUAUGUUCCUACGACUGAGGUUUGUAUCCCGGUACCGAAUUUCGCUGCCGUGGAAGACGAAAGGUUGCAUGGCAGCUGAUUAGCAAAGGUUUUUUCUUUUUAACUAUUGUUGAUUUUCCUUACAUUGGUUCAUAUUCGGAUUUUUUUUUCGUAAUUUUGUUGUCUGGGUUUAAUUUUUUGUUCAGUGGUUUUAGUUCAGGGGUGAUUUGGGUUUUCGGCCAGAGAAGACUUUUUACUUGAAAGUUUGGUCAGGUCACUUGGCAACCAAUGAUUUUACAAAAUAUUUUGGAUUUUUUGACCGUCAUGAUGUGAUUUAGUAUGUUGUCAUAAGGCAACUGCUGGUAGUCAGGAUGGUCAUGUGUGAAAAGGCUUAAUCAAGAAGGAUCUUAGGGACACAAGGAGUGGUUGGUUAGUUGUUUUCACUGUCAUCGAUCCAAAGCUAUACAGACUUCAGUUCUCAAGGCAAGGCAAGGCAA